rnacentral:misc_RNA from 1 species
GCAAACUUGGUCAUUUAGAGGAAGUAAAAGUCGUAACAAGGUCUCCGUAGGUGAACCUGCGGAGGGAUCAUUACAAGACGAGAGCCUGCAAGGACUCGGAAACCACCGCGAAACGUACCUCGUCGUCGUUGCUUCGGCGGGCGGCCCCAGGCGGGGCCGCGGCCCGGGAAGGGCGCCCGCCGGAGGAGCCCCGAACGCACCUCUUCAGUCUCCAGCGUCUCCUCUGAGUGGACCAGAAAAAAAAUUCAGUCAAAACUUUCAACAACGGAUCUCUUGGUUCUGGCAUCGAUGAAGAACGCAGC